CCUACGGGAGGCAGCAGUGGAGAAUAUUUCACAAUGGGGGAAACCCUGAUGCAGCGACGCCGCGUGAGUGAAGGAGUAAUUCGUUAUGUAAAGCUCUAUCAGCGGGGAAGAAAAUGACGAUACUUGAGUAAGAAGCCCCGGCUAACUCCGUCCCAGCAGCCGCGGUAAUACGUAGGGGGCAAGCGUUAUCCGGAUUUACGGGGUGUAAAGGGAGCGUAGACGGCAGUGCAAGUCUGGAGUGAAAGGCGGGGGCUCAACCCGCGGACUGCUCAGGAAACUGUACGGCUAGAGUGCAGGAGAGGUAAGUGGAAUUCCUAGUGUAGCAGUGAAAUGCGUAGAUAUUAGGAGGAACACCAGUGGCGAAGGCGGCUUACUGGACUGUAACUGACGUUGAGGCUCGAAGGCGUGGGGAGCAAACAGGAUUAGAUACCCGAGUAGUC
rnacentral:rRNA from 1 species